UUUUCCUUCAGCUCAGCCAGCUGAGCCUUCUCUUCAGUAUAGAUCUCAUUCAGCUCCUCAUAUUCGGCCUAAAGGGAACCAGGAGUGACUCUGCUGCCUUCUGUCCUGGCCAACCAAUGGCAACUUCUGGGUACUUGUAGGCCUCACGUUCCACAAGAGUACCAGAGAGCUCCCGGGGGCUUUCUAAGCCCAGGCUCCUCAUUCAUGGAAUGGAGCCGGGCGGCCCACAUCUAUAUCAGAAGCAGGACAAGUGAGAACAGGUGUUGGCCACCUUUCUGGCUGGGCCUGAGCACAGGGAUUAAGGGGGGAUGGAUAAAGCUUUACCCUCGAGUUUAUAACAAAAACAAACAACUACAUGAACAAGUGGUUCAGACGAGCAAGGUCUGGGAUGGUAUCACUCAACAGGACCACAUGGAAACCUCACAUGAGCUAAUUCAAUCUUGGACAGUAUUCAGAGAGCCCAGAAAGUGAAUGUCCCACUCUGCCCAUCUGGAGACCUUGUGCUCAGGUCUGAGCUUCUCCUUCCAGGAAAUACACUGACCGUCUGGAGAGCCCUGGGCAACAAGAAAGAAAACCUAAAGAUCUGAUCCUCCCGACUCCAGGGCUGGCCUUCUAUCCAUGACAACAUCUAGCCACCCAAAGAUCUGGGUAUAUAUAAAGACCUCAGAGUCUUCUGAACACUUUGAGAAGAAGGAAAGGCCAGACCUGAAUGAAGGCUAAAAAAAAUUACAAAAAGCCUACACUGAUUAUAUUCUAAGAGACAGAAAAUGACUAGUCAGAGAUGUAGGAAUCAUUUGCUAAUCAGUGCCACGUGUCAUACCAUUAGCUUAUUAGAAUGAAGAUCAGAAUCAACAUCAGUUUAGAAAAAAAAACAAGAAUAAAAAUGGGAAUACAUGAUAUGUAUGAAGAGAACUCUAAUCUGACCCUUUUCUGGAAGCUGAUGACCCUGAAAAGUAGAAAACCACUAAAAGAAACAACCUAACAAUUUCCCAAAGAUGUUUAUAACUGAUGUAAAUCAAUCACAACGAAGAGACUAAACAAACCUAAAAACUGCCUGGGCAGGCAGGAACUUGAUCCUUCUUGCCAAAUGGAGAAAUCUAGCAGCCAAGGGUGAUACUGAUUUAAGAUGUAAACUCACUAAUGUUAUGAAGACAGAAGAAAUGAAAAAGACUUGAGCAAUUUUCCCUUAUAAGACAAGGAGUAGUGGACAGGAAUAAUAUUUGCAGAAAAUCUGAUGAGACCUGAAGGCAAUUGAGAAUAAAACUGAAAGGACUAUAAACAGAUGAAAAGUUGAAGAGAUCUGCUCAUAUUCUUCCCAAAAUACUUUUGCUCAUCAAUGAUAAUGGAACCACCACGUUGGAUGCAGUAUUCUAGUCUCUGAUGUGCUAUGUGAAGAAGAUGAAACAGUACUAAAUCCAACAAAAGCGGGAAAAGCAGCUAUAAUAGACAUCAAGAGAAUACAGAAUGCAGGGCUGGAGGUAAUCCAAUUUGUAUAGUCUUGAAGAAUCACUGUUUAAGAUACUUGAAUAAGGAGAAGAUAUCAGAAACUUGGGGAAAAAAACACAGAUCCUAUUAUUACCCCCCAAAAAAGUGAAUGAAAAUUAUCAAAAACUACUAACCUAUAUGCCAAUUCUUUUAUAUCAAUAAAGUAUUUGUGAUAAUA